CAGGAGACCAGCUCCGUUGGAUCAUGACUCUGUCUCAUCCUUUCCGACAUAAAUCUCCAUCUCAUCCUCCAGAAGCACAGCAUCUGUCAGAAUGAUCAAUGCUUUGGUUUCUGAGUCAAGGAACUGUUUCCACUGAGCAAGAUAUGGGGACCAUACAUUGAUAUUCUUUCCAAUUCAAAAUGGCCCUCUAUCCAAAAGUGCUCAUCUCAGGUAACAAAAGGAAUAUUUGCUCCGUUUCUUUCGAGCCCAGCAGCAUGGCAUCUAAAAUCACAAAUAUUUAUUUCAACAUUCCCAAUGGCCACAGUUCUUAUCCCAUGGAAAGAAUAUUUUAACAAUGAAAAUAGCAUUUUUUAUUUAUUUUUUUGCAAGAGCUUCAAAUUACACUGUUUGAAAUGCCCUGAUGAAAUGGAGUAGCAAAUGUAAAAGGCAAUCUGCAGCCUUUACUUUGUUGUUUAAAUUCAAAAGUGACCCUUUGACGCUGUGUUUGUGUUUUAAAACUGAUAACAGCUAAUUGCAAAAGCAGAACAAUGAAGUGUGUGUUCCAUUCUCAGGAAGUGAUUUUAGAAUUAAUGCAGGAAUAAACACCACCUUUAACUUUAAAAUAUUCUUCUAGCCAUACAUGUAAGAAAAACCUUAAAAUGCAUUUUAGUCCAGCUAUUGAGAUUUCAAAAUUUAAAGAGCAAUAAAAGUUAAGCU